UCCAUCAGCUCUUGAUAGGACCAGUACCUGGGGACCAAGCAACCCUUCAACACAUGGAUCUCUGGGGAACACUCCAGAUUCACACUAUAGCACUGCCCCUACACCUGGCCCCAGUGGUUCCUCUUCUGUUUCAUCCCAGAAAAACUUUCCUAUCUCCACCAGGCAUCCUCACCAGGAUGCACUGACAGCAACCAGAGCAUCCAUGCACAGGAGGAUGUGUGGAUGAAUUGUGCUGUAUCCAGAUGGCCUCUGUCAGUGAAGAAAAAGGACAAUGACAUGCUAUGGACCCAAGGGAAGUGGCAAGAACAGUCCAGAGGUUUGGGAGAGUUGUAAGAAGAGCAGCUACAGCAGACAGACAACCAUGUCCCUGCUGGAGGUGGCUUGGCAGGUCUGCCCCACUGGCCACUAGACUGUACUGCUGUGGCCAGCACAGGCCGAGUGGUUUCUCGUGAGUUAACUGCCUUUUCAACCAGUGAUCCUGAUGCUUUGCCAUAUGGAGAUCCUGGACCCGGGGAGGCUGCUCUUACAGGGAAGAGUAGAGGAUUGUCUGCACACAAGCCUUCCUUGAGUGAAGCCGGUAGCAGGCCACCAAUAUUUUGAGACAGCCCUUAACCCAGAGCCUACCAAGGCCCUCCAUUCUAGCUGGCUUGCCCCCUGGUCUCUGGCCUCACCCCUCCCGACCCACUGUCAAAGCCUCUUCCAUACUCGAAAUCGCACUUUAUGAAGACCCAAGAGCCAUGGCACACACCAGCAUUGCCAGAAGCGCCAGACAGCCUAUCUCCAUGAAGCAGACACAACCAAGGGGAACGGCCAGAGGACAAACCCCUUCCUCUUCUGUUCCACUCCAGAGAAAGGAACCUGGGCUCUCACUAAACAAGGAAAGUGAAGACAUCCAGGAACCCCAAGGGCCCUGGGACAAAGUCUGGAAUUGCUGCGUUCCCGUAAAGCAGGAGACCCAGAGCUCUGCAGCUGCUGCUCCUCUGGAGAGGAGACUACUCAGACCUACACUCAGCCCAGUGUGCCUCAGUUUUUUUGUGGAGUACCUAGAGCUCAGUAAGCAUUGACGUGGUAACUGCAGUCCUGCGUGAUUGGUGUGGAGACUCUCUCCAGUGGUUCUAAGGAUGGGAUCUGGAACCUCGUACUUGUUAGGCAAGUACUCUGCCACUGAAGCAUCCCUCCUCCGUCCUGUAGAUUAUGUAAUCUGAAGGAAUGACAGUAGAACCCGCAGCUACAGGUUGACCACCCCUCUGUUUACACGGCACCUGGCUGAUUUCAGCCCAGUGUCUGACACUGCGUACAGUGUUCUUCCCAGGCCAGCAUCUGCGACCUUCCAGGAAUGGUCCCAGAGUUCCGUGCCCCUGGGGCCUCCCCAGCCCCUUGAACUCUUCCCAAGGGUGCCCAGCUGAGUCACGGGUAUGCCCUGUGCCCCCCACUCCUGGGCCCUAGGCUCAAAAGCAGCAAUGUAGGACCCAUGCCAGCCUCCAGCACGUCACAUGGGGCGUACCUGCAUGUGCCUGGACACUCUUCUCGUCAGCAUCUGGUGAUUAGGAAGUCAUUCUCCAUGUGGGACGAGAUCUAAUCAGCCUGCCGAUAAUCACCAGGCCCAGAACGUGGCCGCAAUUCAGGAAAGACGAUCCCCGAAGACAAGCACCACUUAAAUCCUGGCACUGACCACAGUCCCCUUGGUAACCCGUGCUUCUGAGCACGAUUUAGCCAGUGAGCUAAUUGAUGUUCUCCUGGGCAGUCAGCUCGUGCCCGGCAAUCGAAAUGGACGCUAAUUGCUGACAUCCUUCAGGUAAGAAGCCCUUCGUGUUCUUGGGCCACCCAAGAGGCCCGGAGCAGGAACUGAGUCUCUCAGCAAAUCGGUGCCAUGAUUGCAAAUAAUUAAUCGAAACAAGGUUUGCAGAAAGAAUUAAUUACAGAACCUAUCAGAGGAAAUGGUGGCUUCACUGGAUGGGAGAGGCUGGCUUCUCACAGAAGCUCAAAGCAAGAUGUAGGUAAUACAAAAAUAAACAUUUUUAAAGUGCUCCUGGUA